CCGAAAAUGUACCGGGGCUAAACAUAUUACCGAAGCUGUGGAUUGUCCUUUGGACAAUGGUAGGAGAGCUUUCUAAGGGCGUUGAAGCAUGAUCGUAAGGACAUGUGGAGCGCUUAGAAGUGAGAAUGCCGGUGUGAGUAGCGAAAGACGGGUGAGAAUCCCGUCCACCGAUUGACUAAGGUUUCCAGAGGAAGGCUCGUCCGCUCUGGGUUAGUCGGGUCCUAAGCUGAGGCCGACAGGCGUAGGCGAUGGAUAACAGGUUGAUAUUCCUGUACCACCUAUAAUCGUUUUAAUCGAUGGGGGGACGCAGUAGGAUAGGCGAAGCGUGCGAUUGGAUUGCACGUCUAAGCAGUAAGGCUGAGUAUUAGGCAAAUCCGGUACUCGUUAAGGCUGAGCUGUGAUGGGGAGAAGACAUUGUGUCUUCGAGUCGUUGAUUUCACACUGCCGAGAAAAGCCUCUAGAUAGAAAAUAGGUGCCCGUACCGCAA
rnacentral:rRNA from 1 species